rnacentral:rRNA from 1 species
CCUACGGGCGGCAGCAGUGAGGAAUAUUGGUCAAUGGGCGCGAGCCUGAACCAGCCAAGUCGCGUGAGGGAAGACGGCCCUAUGGAUUGUAAACCUCUUUUGUCGGGGAGCAACAGACGCUACGCGUAGCGUUCCGCGAGUACCCGAAGAAAAAGCAUCGGCUAACUCCGUGCCAGCAGCCGCGGUAAUACGGAGGAUGCGAGCGUUAUCCGGAUUUAUUGGGUUUAAAGGGUGCGCAGGCGGAAGAUCAAGUGUGCGGUAAAAUUGAGGGGCUCAACCUCGUCGGGCCGUUGAAACUGGUGUGCUUGAGUCAGUGAGAAGUAUGCGGAAUGCGUGGUGUAGCGGUGAAAUGCAUAGAUAUCACGAAGAACUCCGAUUGCGAAGGCAGCAUACCGGCGCUCAACUGACGCUGAUGCACGAAAGUGCGGGUAUCGAACAGGAUUAGAUACCCUAGUAGUC